GUUGUUGGGGUUUACAAUUUCAUCUUAUCCACUCUCAUAUAUCUACUCUUCUUAUUUACUCACUUAUUUAUCUAAUUGCCAUGCAAACUUUCUAGUAUACCCUUAACCCAAUCCCUUGGUGAAAAGAGCCCAUUAUUAAUUACCGGCUUGCUAUCCCUAGCCUCCCCUAGUAACCAAUAAUGCAAUGCGUUCGGAAGCAAAUACA
rnacentral:lncRNA from 1 species